CAUCUCGUGAAUAUUUGGAAUACGUCAAAAGUGGAAUGGAGUGAAUCGGUUGAAUUAUGUGGAAGUAGUAGAAGGACAGAAAAGUGAGGAGAAUAAAAUAGAAGAAGAAGAAGAAGUGAAUGGUGUAAAAUAACAUAAGUGAAGGCCUAUUAUUAAAUAUUAUGAAUAUUAAAAGAAAUUUAGCAGUUGAACCAUUUUGGGAAAAUGAUGAAUGAUUUGAACAUGAAUUGAAUUGAACAUGAGAUAUAGAUAACUGAAAGAUACACUGAAUUUGAAUUGGGUUCAAGCACUCCCUCUCGCAUUGAUGUGUGUGCAUAUGUCUGUUAAUGCCCGAACUGGGCACACCCCUUUUGAAUUGCAGAAACGUCGCUGUUUUCCUGGACCAAUUUCGGCCCUUCCAGUUGCUGAUCCAGAUGGUGGUUAGCGCACACACACACAUCUUAGACCAAUUGUCCAGUUUUAUGAUUCCAGGUUUGCUGAGCACACUGCAGCGGACCCAAAUGGGGCCGCCGAGAUUCAAAUCACCCCAACUAUCUGGCUGAAAGUCCUGAAGAGAAAGUGGACAGCGCCUCGGUGGACUGGACCCUUUGCAGUGGUGGAGCGCACAUCGCAUGCCGUCCGGCUGGCCGGCAAAGGAGACACGUGGUAUCAUCUAUCCCAGUGUGCUCCUGUGAAGGAUUCUUGCAUAGAUCCGGAUCCGCCAUUGACAGCGUCCCCACUCCCGAUUGAAAAAGAGGCAGAAUAAUCCUCUUCCACUUGGUGGCCAGGUAGUCUACCCUGAGCCACUAAAGACCAAGACUGCACAGCAGACGUUUUCAGGUUCCUUCCGGACGGAGCAGAGCUGCAAAGGGGGGUGAAGCUCGUCUUGAG